CACACCGCCCGUCACACCAUGGGAGUUUGUUGCACCAGAAGCAGGUAGCCUAACCGCAAGGGGGGCGCUUGCCACGGUGUGGCCGAUGACUGGGGUG
rnacentral:rRNA from 1 species